rnacentral:rRNA from 1 species
AUUGAACGCUGGCGGCAUGCCUUACACAUGCAAGUCGAACGGUAACGGGCCUUCGGGUGCCGACGAGUGGCGAACGGGUGAGUAAUGUAUCGGAACGUACCUUUCAGUGGGGAAUAACGUAGCGAAAGUUACGCUAAUACCGCAUAUUCUGUGAGCAAGAAAGCAGGGGAUCGCAAGACCUUGCGCUUAUUGAGCGGCCGAUAUCAGAUUAGCUAGUUGGUGAGGUAAAGGCUCACCAAGGCGACGAUCUGUAGCGGGUCUGAGAGGAUGAUCCGCCACACUGGAACUGAGACACGGUCCAGACUCCUACGGGAGGCAGCAGUGGGGAAUUUUGGACAAUGGGGGCAACCCUGAUCCAGCCAUGCCGCGUGAGUGAAGAAGGCCUUCGGGUUGUAAAGCUCUUUCGGCCGGGAAGAAAUCGUAUCAGCUAAUACCUGGUGCGGAUGACGGUACCGGCAUAAGAAGCACCGGCUAACUACGUGCCAGCCGCCGCAGUAAUAC